rnacentral:lncRNA from 1 species
AAAAAAAGAAGAAAAAAAUUGAAAAACCCAUCCAUCUCCCACCUCAUCCCCCCACACCCUCUCCCUCCCUUCUCUCUUCUACAACCUACACCCAUUCUUUCCCUUCUCGCUUCUGCAACCUACACCCAACCCAACAAAAUCCCACCCAAUGGAAUUCUAAAUCAACAAGAAACCCAUCCAAUUUCUUAAAUUUAUCAAAAACCCAGUUGACCCAAAUCCCUAAUUUGGAUCAUUCCCAAAUCCUAACCAAUUUUUGAGCAUUCCUAGCCCCUGACACCACCCCACUGGACUCCAACAAUGGCACAUGGUGGCUCCCUUGGUUCGGUUAAUCUCUCUCCUCGAGUGGCUCGCGAACCAUAGCUGCUUCGAAUUGAAUUUCAAAUUUGUGUUCCUCAGAUUUUGGGGAUUAGGGUUUUUGCAAAUGGUGGAGGUGAAAAGGAUGGAAGAGAGAAAAUGGAGGGAAGGUGAAGCGGGUGGAGAUGGGUCGGGUAAAGAAGGGAGAGAGCGGGCGUGAGGUGAGGUAAGAAAGGUGGGUGUGGGUUGUAGAGGAGAUGAGGGAGGGUGGUGUGGAUUGCAGAGGAGAGAAGUGAGGAAAGGUGGGUGGGGAUUGCAAAAGAGAGGAAAGAGGGUGUGGGUUGCAGAGGGAGGGAGGGAGGGAGGGAGAAGGCGGGUGGGUAUAUAUAUUUUUAUUUUUAUUUUUAUUUUUUUUGUGUGUGUUUUUGUAUUUUUUUAAAUUUUUUUAAAUUUUUUAAUAUUCAAGUUGGCCCAUAUUGACACGUUGCGCUCAGUUAUUGUUCACGUGAGAGUCACAUCAUCAGUUAACAGAAGUUCUAACGGAAAACUUAACGGAUGUAUGAGAGUGUCCCAGAAUUAUAAAUUUAGGUACCUGAUUGAGACGAAAAAAACUUAAUGUACCAAAUGUUGAAAAUCAAUAAACUUCAGGGUAGUAAACUGAGAUUAAUCAUUUUCUAUAGACUAUUUGUAUUUGUUAAGUGGGUGGCAUUUUUGUUAUUUUGCCUCAACAAAUGUGCCUUUCCAAAGCAGGCGGUCAAAAAGCGUCGCUCCUUUCUUUUCCCGUUAAAAGCUUCGUUCCACCGUUUUUCAAGAAAAAUGAUAAAAGUUAUCGACCCACGCCUAUCCUCAACUACAUGUCGUACUGUUAGUGUUUUACCACUGUUAAGUAUGUUAUCAGCCAGUCAACUUCUAUCAAACAGUCAAAUUGCCCACCUUAAAAAUGGAUACUCGGCUCAGUAAAACAGUAGUUAGUUUGAAAAGUUAGGGAGUUUGAAAGGUGGUGGGUGCACCAAAUACCCGUGCCUCUGCAUUCAUUUCCACCUCAUACUAGGGUUACGUGGCUGGUGACCCUCCACAUCUUCUGCCCUAAUAUGUUUAUGAUAUGUGUUGUCAUGCAUGUGAACCAUGUAGCUUGGAGGGGACCUGUUUUGGGUCGGUCCAGAGGCUUUCAUUUAAGAAAAUACAAGUGCAACCCAAAUACCACGUUUAGGAGCCUAGGUUGAUUCUGGUUAUUUAUGUUUGUGAGAGAUACAGAGUAAAGACGUUUAGAUUAACAAACAUGCAUGAUUGAUCAUAACAUGCAUUCUAGUAUUCAAAAGUUUAGGGUUGGUAUUUAGUAAUUUGCGUAAAGAAUUUUAGGUCAGAUCUUCUGAUCACAUGACAUGUCUGACUAUCUAAUAUCGACAAGCAUAUGAAGACGUUAUAGACUAUCGACAUGUUGUUCAUGUUACUGAGACAAUCUAUACUUCGAUUACAUAGUCGUCAAUAUCAUGUAUGAAGUACUUCAAUAUACUUUUUACACAAAAUAUUAGUUAAUCCUGAGUGGUUGGUUAACUAGGGUUAUGCUUGCUGAAAGGCUUGUGUGUAUUCUCAUUUGUAAAUUAGUUCAAAAUCCCCCUUAGUAUAUAAUCUUUGAUUUCAUGAAUCCCACCAUUGAAAGACAUCAUAGUCCCACCUUUUAGCUUUAGAUCAGACAACAAAGAUCACCCAAUCAGUGUGAUUCUUGACUUUCUUGUUGAUACUUAGUUACUUACCCCAUCCCAUGGUGUUUGAUCUAGUGGGACCCUAAAGCACAAUUAAAUUGAACUAUAGCUUUUGUUCACAGAGAGCGAGCCUUGGCACAACAGAAAACUUGCUCCUUGGUGACUUAUUCGAGUCGUGGAAACAGUCUCAUUGCAAAGUAAGAGUAAGGCUGCGUACGACAAACAUUUCCCCUGACCCUCACAAAGUUGUUGGCUUGAGAUCCUUUUUUUUCAUUGUUUUUGUUCACAAAUCCAAAGAGAUUUUAAUGAAAAAAGCAACAAAUAUUAUUCAUGAGGGAAAAAAAAAAUUGAAGACAUGGGUUUGAAUGUGAUAGAUGAAAUGUAUAUAGGAGGAUGGAACCAAAUCCUGUCCCCUCUGCCAAUUUUAAUGGAAUUAUUUUGGAAUUUUCACAAACUCUGAGAAUUUUCCCUCUGCCAAAUUCAUAUAUUUUUUAAAAUAAUAAUUUUUUAUCCCGUUUUUCUGCCUUUUUCUUUCAGUUCUGCACUUUUUCUCCACAGGAUCUUAUCGGUAGCAGUGUUCUUGCUCCAAUUUCAGGCAGCAUAGCAAGAAGUGCAGUGUUACAGAGAAGCAUAUGUAUAGGAAGACUCAAUGCUCCAUCACUUGCCCCAUACAUUCUUCUCCCCUCACCAAUCAAAGCUUUCAACAACAUUGUUUUCUUUUCUUUGAGAUUAAACCAAAAACAAAAAAAUCUGCUAGAACACAGGUUGGUACGACGGUAUCAGUGAGGAUAUCAAUUUUUCUGAUAAAUAAUUUAGUUAUAUGUGUUUUGUAUUGCAUGAAAGUUUGGUUUUUUUUCACAUCGUCAUGGACAAAAUCUCAGUUACCAUUUCAAAUGAUCAUGUUUGAAGAGAUUUCAUUUCAUUUCUUGAUCCAACCCCCAAAUGCAAUAUUAAUGCUAAAGAAAAAAAUAAUAGUCUUUUAUUAUAAUUUCGAGAUUAGUACGUGUAUAGAUUCGAAACGAUAAAAUUUUCUCAAAAGCGAUACAUAUCUUUUAGGUUGAAAAUGUGAAUAGUUGGUCGAUACAUGCAACAGUGUCAUUGUCUAGACUCUAAACCGUGAACUUCCACUCCUUGAAUAAUGUAGAGGGAUCACAGACUUAGCAAAACAUGGCCAACCUGACAACUCCACAACGAGAUUUUACACAAUAAUGAUAUGAAUAUAGGAGAAGUUUAUGAACCCUAGGGUUUCUUAAGAAAAGUUGAUUUGUUGAGAAGCAUAAAUUUCAGUGCAAUUGGAUAAAAAUUUCCAGAACGAUAUAUGCUGCGGAACUACCUUUAAUCUUCUUAUGUUUUUUACAUUUAUUUUGUUGUUAUGCUAUGAGUUGGUUGAAAUGCCGUUAAUUUGAUUAUACAUGACUAGAAGUUUUUUGUGCUGAACGUUUAUUUUGCUCUAUAUAGGACAAAUUUUGUAUCGAUAAAAAGUCAUACGUUUUGUUACUUACAUGGUAUCAGUGACUUAUCAACACCAUAUUAACAAUCCGUUGUAUAAAUAGCGGACGCCCUGUUCCAAAAUGAACAGUAUAAUUUGGAAUUUGAAUAUAUAAACAAUGGGUACUGCUAAAUUUAUUGAAAAUUUGUGGCUUACUCUUUAUGUGUAUGGAGAAAAGAAAAAACAAUUAAGUACAUUUUGGUAGAGGAUAAAACCCAGAAGAAAGUAAAAUGUAGAAAAUGACCACCUCAGGUGGCUUCAUAUUGACAGUUGGAACAAGAACAUAUAACUAUGCAGCUGCACAUAUACUUGGUUUACAAGCAACGAUCUACCCUUCUCUUUCGAAGCUGUUAUCGUGCUUCUACUUCCGAAAAUGUUAAUAGAUUUACAGAAGGCAAUUGAUUUAAUGGUUUAUCAACCUUUGUCGUUAAAUUCGAAUACGUAGUCUGCUUAGGGGUAGGUAAAGUUGCCCCUUCAUUGCUCAACAUUGAAACAACAUCCGACAUGGUUGGCCUAUCCUCUGCACUGUCUUGGACACAUAACAGACCCACCUGAAUGCAGGUUACAAGGCUUUCCAUUGAACUUGAAUCAGCCAGUGUUGAAUCCAUCAACUCCGCUGCUCGCCCAGAUUUCCAUAAAUUCCAAGCCUGCAACAAUUUUCACAUUUUAAACCUAGAUAAUACAGAACAGCGGUAUAACUUACAAGAAUUUUGAGUCAGAACCAAGGCAAGUUGCCACUUACAUGUCCUAGUAGGUUCAGAGAAUGAUCUGACUCAUAAAAGUUUGCGUUCUUCCUGCCACUUACAAUCUCCAACACAAUGACUCCGAAGCUGAACACAUCGGAUUUAGUUGAGAAAAGGCCGUGCAUCAGAUACUCGGGAGACAUAUAACCACUGGUUUCAGUGAAAAGAGAAAAUGAGUCAUUUGAGUUUUAUGAGAAGUAUAUGCUGCACAUAACAAACAUGUGUAUAAAUACACAAAUGCAAGCAUGAAGUUACUUACUAUGUUCCAACAACCCGAUUUGUUUUGGCUCGACAUUCAUUCCCGGAUAAAAUUCUAGCCAAGCCAAAGUCUGAUAUCUUGGGGUUCAUGUAAGCAUCCAAUAAGAUGUUGCUAAUUUUAAGAUCGCGAUGAAUAAUUCUUAAUCUAGAGUACUUGUGAAGAUAAAGAAGCCCUUGAGCAAUCCCUUUGAUUAUGUGUAUGCGCUGUCUCCAAUUCAAUGACCUUGUCUUUGUUUUUUCUGCAAGAAUUGCAAUUCACAGCAUGAGAGAACUAAAGUGAGAACCAAUAACAGAAUAGGGAAGGCGCAUAGAUGAAUUUACAGACCGAAAAUGAAGGAAUCCAAGCUUUUAUUGGGCAUGUACUCGUAUAUUAGUAUCUUUUCUUCUCGGUGAAUGCAAAAGCCCAAAAGCUUGACAAGGUUUCUGUGCUGGAGCUUAGAGAUUAACUGCACCUCGUUCUUGAACUCCACGGGUCCUUGUCCAGAAUUUUUGGAUAGCCUUUUGACUGCAAUGUCAUGUUGUAGUAAUUUUCCCUGCAACAAACAGCAGAUAAAGGUUUUUUUCAUAUAAACUUUCAAUUAAAUAUAACUUAUCAAAAGAGACAUCGACAAAACCCGUCACACCAAAUGCCUUAUUGUUAGAAAAGCAGUACAAUUGCAACACAAACCUUAUAAACAGGCCCGAAACCACCUUGUCCAAGCUGAUUUGCAAGGGAGAAAUUAUUAGUGGAUGUCACUAUGAAUGAAAAGCUAAGCAGUGGCAACUCAUGAUCCUUCUGCUUUCCAAGUUCUGUAAUAUUUGGACAGCUAGCAUUAUCAUCGGAGCUCAACUGCGACAAUAAUAGCCUCAUACUAUCUCUCGUGCCAUUGCGGAAUCCAUAAAUUCCUGUUGUUGGUACAAAGAAGUCAGUCUACUCAUUUUAUUAAUUUGGCAAAAUUUACUGUGUUGGGCAAUCGAUAGAGCAGUUAACGUACCUAAAGAGUUGCACUUUAUCCAUAGCAAUAAGAUCAACAUGAAGAACACCAAGGGAAUCACCAUAAAUGUGACAGUCAACAGCUUCCUAUCUUAAGAAAGAAAAAGAAAAUAUUAUCUAUCAGAUUUUAGGGAGAAAAGGGGAGGCUGUUCAAUUCUUACCAUCUGAAAAACUUUAAAAGGCAUUUGAAUAAUAAAGGAUAUGCAGUUCCGCUAUUGAUUCUUCUUGUAACUAUCAAAGGUUGAGUAAUUGUAAAAGCUUACCAGAUUUAGAAGCGUUACCGCGCACAUAAAUGGUGCUGUUACCUGUCCCGACCAGUUUUUGAAGAUCGAUUUUAUUUCCAUAAUAAACCUGACAUAUAGUUCCACCAUCCGGCAAAGAAUCAUAUGUAUAUGCAACACAUGAGCAAUGGAUCGUGCAAAAUUUCUCGCAGUCAUAGGGAUCUAUCCGAAUUGGCCAACUUGUAAACAAUGAACUCGGCAGCAUUCCUGUGACAUUUGAGAAACUAUCUCUUUCUGAACACGCUGAUGGCCUCCUCACCAAACAGCGAGGAGAACUGCUUGCCAUUGUGUCAUCACAAAGUGAAUAAUCCACAUUCUUGAUCUCAUUUCCUAUCAUCGUGAACUCAUAAAUCAGCCCUUCAGAGGCUAACACGAACCAUGAAGGCAUGCUACUAUUUUUGUUGCUAAAAGUAACAUAAAUCUCAUUAGUUUUCCAACCCGAACUCACGUUGAGAUUAUCCAACGUGCUUUUGAAGAAGAAAUUAAACUCAUGGCCAUCCCAAAGUCCAAUCUGUUGGUAAGCUCCAUCACUGCGCCAGACGUUGAACUGAGUGUUGUUCACUGGAUCAAUGCCUAGAGCAUAAAUACCAUCAGCAGGGACAGAAGUGUUUGACCAGGACACAAGAAACUGUUUCCUCAACUGCUCGGUGUUUAUGUUGAACAACCCCAACUUCAUUCCAGGAAGAAACGUAUCCGUCGGGUAAUCAAAACUCUGCCAAAACGUGUCUCCUCCUUCCAUCAGAACAAGAUUUCCUGAGUCAAGAAGCGUUGCAGUUGUGUUAUUCCCUGACGCAAGUGCAUCGUAAUUCACAAUAUAUGAAAUGUUUCUUCUGUCAAUGAUCACCAUGUUCCCAUCAUUCCGGAUGGUGAGAAGUACACUCGACGAACCCACCAUUCCAUCGGAAUCCAGGGGGCUGUUUCUGUUUGCAACCCAAACUGGCUUUUGGUUCUUGUCAUUCUUGAACCAGAUUCCCAAGUACCCGUUCGGCGCUGAGGGGGAGCUGAAAAAGCCUAGCUCAAACACCCCGCCGGCAGAAACCAGGGUUUGAUUGCUGUACAAGUAUUGUCCAUGCCUGAGGGUGUCCGAUGAUGCAUGAGAUAAACACACAAAGAAGCAUGCGAAAGUACAGAACACAACAUGAAAUGGUCUCCAUGUUUUCAUGUUAUACAAAUUAUAGGGAGACAACAACCGUAUGAUGAAAGACUAUGUUGUGACGAGGGUUUUUAUACAAGGUUGUAACAUUUCCUGAUGAGAGAGAGAGAGAGUCAAAUGGUAGAGUGGUAGCAAUUCUUUGGAGUACGGCUUCUGGGAAGUGAAAGUAUGUUGGAAACUUAUGUUGGGACUUGCAAACAUGACAGGAUUACAGCCCAAGCAAUUUGACUUUGUGUUUUUGACCCUUAAUCCUAACCAAAAUCCAAGAAAGUGUUCAAUGCUUGUUGCCCAAGGCUAUGAACAUGAAUCUUAAGCAUUGAUAUCAUCGUUAUUAUAUUAUUCUAAGAAAAGUCAAAUGUUUCAAGGUUACAUCUUGUUUAUACUUUGUCCCUACCCUAACAUAGAUCGAAGUAUAAGAGGUUAAUGGAUAACACAUGCCAAACAAUCUUACGCAUUAUGACGUAUGAUCAAUUAGUUCAGCGUACCUAAAUUUUACUUUGUUGAAAGACGUAUGUUCGAGAUUUCACUCAAAAGCCUCUUACGUCAUUAGUCUAAGAGAGGGAAUUUUAGGAUUUAAUAAAAGUUUUCCAAUAGAUGGAUCUAACAAGUAAUGUGAAAUACUAAAAAGAACGAGCUAAUUCCAACCUACAUUUUUUUUCGAUCACUUUCAAAGAAGCACAAUUUUUUAACUUUUCUGCCGUUACUACCUAAAGCGUUAAUAUAUUAAUAAUUCAAAUCACUUUUGUAUCUGAUUUUUGAUAUGAUUUACAAAAGCCGGAGAUGAGUGAUCGGGUUUGGGUUGACAGACCCCCAUCUUCGUUGGUGCAUGUUUUGAAUAAGUAUGGUCUUCCUUUGUGGUGGUGGUUGGGGUGACACUCAACCUGGUUGUAGUGUCUGCUAGUUUGUAUCCCCUUCCAUCGUUUUCUUUCUCUUUGUGCCUGUUUGGUGUUCGCCAUUCGUUGGCUCUCCUGUUGUUUUCGGCUUCGGCCUUGGUUUGUUUUUCCAAAAAAAAAAAGGGCUCAAACUUGGAGUUUAUUUGUAAUUAGCUCAAAACUAAUAAUGGAAAUCCAAACAAAAGAGGGUUAUGAGGUCCCCAUUACCAUUAACAUUCCAAAUUUAACGGACUUCCCCCCGUGGGCCGGGUCGGUGUUAUAAUCAUUCCAUACCAAAACAAAAGUCUUCUGGUGUGGCUCAUUUCACCUGGAGCCCUUGGCCUUAGCUUCGCAGAGUUGACUCCACUUCCUCUUCCUCCAACUGUUCGACAAUCGCCCGAGUGAAACUCCACCACCCAUGUUUCCGAAGCAACUCCGCACCCUUGGCACAGCCGCCGCCGUACUCCUCGGCGGAUUCUUCACGCUCAACCUGGCUUCCACCGCCACAAUCGGAGCCCUCCGGUUCGCCGCCGAAUCCAAACGGGUAAAAAGACCAAAAACCCAGCUUUUAACUUUCAAAUCUCUCCUCCGUUUUUGCUGAAUUGGUCUUAUGGUCAUUUUGUUGGUGGGUUUUUGGGGCAGAGAAAGGUUGCGCUGCCUUGUGUGGUCUGCAGAGGUAAAGGGUUUUAUAUAUGCAAGCUUUGCAAAGGGAAUGCCACCAUUGAAUGGUCGCCGCUGUACGACCCAAUUGCCAUCAACCCCUGCCUUUGCCCUACCUGUGAUGGAAAUAGGUAUAUUCAACAGUGAUAUUGCUUGCUUUGAUUACGCGCCGGAAAAUUGAUAAAAUAUAAUACAAUACGGUAUGUAAUGAAGGGUUAUAUUACUGUGUCGAGGCAUUUCACGGUAAAUUUCAUUAUUGUGGUGUUAGUGGGUAAUAAUAAGGAACUUUAACGAAAAGUUUCGGUACUGUUUGUUUUAACGAAAAAUUAUAUUUUUACAUUAAAAAGUCAAUUCUGGUACUAUUUAUUUUACCAUUUAUGUUGUUUUUAUCGUUAAAACUAAAAAUUUUCAAAAAUCUUUAAUUAGUUUUCCUUAAUAAUAAAAACUUUAACGAUACUUAACAGUGAAUUCCUCGUCCGUCUGACAUCUUGACAAUUGACAUUGCUUCAUCUUCCGAAAUUUUGGGUGUUGGUCAAAUGUAAAGCAACUUUUUGGCUUUUAAUUUGAUUAAAUUGGUUACGUGAUGCUUUGUUUAUCUUGGGAUUUUGCAGGGUGCAGCACUGCCUCAACUGUCUAGGGACGGGAUAUAUUUGAGUUUUUGUAUAAUAAGAGGCAGAUGAACUAUUUAGUACUACAGUUUAAUAGUAUUUAUUUUCAUUUGUACGUUUUAAGUUGCGUUAAGUGUCAUGUCUAAAAUUGCUACACUGCUUGAGACAUCUUGCAAACUACAUAUAUAUUCAGCAGAUUGAAGGAUGAAAAGUAGAUGUAUUUAGAACUGUAGCUAUAAUUAACGCUAUUUUAUAGGAAAACAAAAGGAGGCAAAAAACAAAAAAUAAAAAGCCCAAAGACCGAGAGAAAGGGAAAAGUUUCUUUUCGGAUUCCUUCCACCAAAUUCACUCCAUCAAUCAAUUCGAAUAUUUAAAAUUUGAUCUAACGGCUAUAAAUAAGGGAUUCCUUUAAAAGUUAUAAAAACUUUAAUUGUUGGAUUAAAUUUUAAAAGUUCAAAUUGAUUGAUGAGAUGAAUUUAAUGGAAAUGAUCCGAAGAUAAUUCUUUUCCAAGAGAAAGUUCAAUUUGCUAAAGUCUCUAAAGAAAAAUUUAUGCCAACAAACAAUCUCAUCGGUAUUAGUCAUCGUGCACCUCCUCCAUCGUCUACAUGGCUCAUCACACUGCUCAUAGAAACCUACGCGUAGAUCAGCCUGGAGGCCCCCACCAUCUGAUAUCCCUAUAGGGGCCCACAACCGUCCGAUUGCGGUGGUGUUCCUGCUUGUACUGCGCCGCGUGUUACGUAGCAGCACCAUCCUCGACGUGGCAGUCUCUCCUUAGUUCCCGCCUUGUCAUCGGAAUGAAUCAUCAGCGGCCCACGUACACCUUGGCUCAGAUGCUAACUUGCGCCGGUGUCGAUAUUCAAUCUUCUACGUUUGAGAAUCUAAAUAAAUAAAAAAUACGAUUAGGAUUAGGAUUAUGAUUCUAAGAAAACGAACUGGGUUGCAAUAUGUAUUUACUUCUUUUUGUUUUUCAUAAAGCAAAACCCGUUUGUUCAUGAUUUAUGCCUCUUCCUUACUUCUCAAGCUUCAUUUUUACGUAUUUUAAAAUUAUUAGUCAAGUUAUUAAGACUGUCGUGAAAAACUAUUUCAAAUUAACAAUAAGUAUAACUCUCGUUUAUAUAUUCAGCAUUGAAAAGCUACGAUGUUUACGUUAGAAACCAAAUAAUCACUAUUAAAAUUAGGGAGAUUAUAUUCAUACACACUAAAUUACUUCUUUCACAUCUUUUUAAUUUUUUUAAUUUUAUCAAGUGUUAGUGGUGUGUAGAAAAUAUUAAAAAAAAAUUAAAAUGCGAGAAAAAUAAAUUAAAGUUUUUGAAUAUAAUCUUUUUUAAAUUAUUCAUCUAUGCAAAUUCCUUAUGAUAUUUAUUUUCCUACUUUUUGUUCGUCUAUGCAAAUUCCUGAAGACUUGAAAAAGUAUUGAUGUUCCAAUAAUUUCCAAACGUGUGCACUCGGCGCAAUGUAGCACAGAUUCCUUAAAUUUAAUUAAAUUAUAUCUUCGAAAGGUUUUCCCAAUUGGACUACAAGACAAAAAAAAAGGAGGUUAUCUCGUUGGAAUAUAACCGCCAACAGGCCAAAUGGAAGGUCAUCAUCCUACGAGAAUCCUUCCGCUCAAUGAAAUAAUGCCCUUGCAUGGCUUCUUAUUAACAAAAAUGCCACUCGUCAAUUAAAAUUGUUUGCUCCACUAAUCAACCGUAACCACCUCUUGGUUCAAAAAUGGACCCAUUCAAUUGUGAAGGAUCUUUGGUUGAUUUGUUUGUUUCUCAUAAUAAAUUUCGACGGUUAAGGAUUCCAUCGGAUACCGUACUGUACUGGGUUUGUCUUUUUCUUUUUCAAUUAUUUAUGAACGUUCAAGUUGAUUUAUGACAUGAAAAAAUUCAAAGUAUGGGUUUAGCUUACCAAUAAGUUCAAUUUAUAACAAGAAAGUGAUGCAUUUUUUUUUUGUCAACAAAAAAGUGAUAGACCAUGUAUGAAAUUAAGUAAUGAAAUAUGCAUUCAUAGUGUGUGUGUAUAUAUUCAAUCUUUCUUGAAUUUUCUAUAACUAAGAUAAACGUAUAAAUUUUGCUUUUUAAAAGAGACAUGUCAAACGAAAAAGAAAACUCGACUCUCAAACUAUUAAAUUCAAGAACAUAACUUUGUAUUUCUGCGUGUUUACAUGAUUCAUCUCAACCUACAUAUAUAUUGUCCAUCCUUCACAAUCAAUCAAAGCAAAAUAGGAACACAUGCAUCUACAAAAUAUAAGCAGCGAAAUUUUAACUACAAAAUCACAACCGAAUAUAUAUUAAACUCAAACUUAAAUAUACAUGAAAGUAAAUUAAAUAUACAUGACAAAACCAUUUUUUUGUUAAAUGAAUUACACAAUACUUGAUUAGUAGUAAACACGUAUUGUUAGACAAAAAGCUCCACACUUUGAGGGGUAAGAAGAAAUCCCAUGUCUAUUGGGAUUAGAUUUAGAAGCCCACAAAAUCAGAUCAACAACAUAUAGAAUUCCUAUAUUUUUUAUGAUUGGAACAUUCUUAUUUCACAAGAAUCAUGUUAGGUGGAUUUUAACCUAAAAAAGGUACCCUUAUCUUCCUAAUUCUUCUUAAAUUUAUACAAGUAAUUAUUAUUUAUUUCCAGCCAUUUACAAGUUAUAUCAUAUUACUUUUCAAUUUUCAUCAAUAAAAAAAAGGUGAAAGAAAAGAGGGAAAAAAUGUGAGAGAAGUUGUCACAUUCUGAGCUCGACUCCGCCGUAGCAUGAUAUUGUCCGCUUUGGGCCCCGAUUAUACCCUCACGGUUUUGUUUUUGGGAACUCACAUGAGAACUUUCCAGUGGGUCACUCAUCAUGGGAUUGCUCUCGCACGAACUCGCUUAACUUCGAAUUUAAGAUGGAAUCUGAAGUCAGUGAGCUCCCAAAUGCCUUGUGCUAGGUAGAGAUAAGAAUAUACAUAUAAGGCUUACAUGAUCCACUCCCCUGGGCGAUGUGAGAUGUUACAAUCCACCCCCCUCAUUCGGGGCCCGACUUUCUCGUUGGCACACUUUCGGCUAGGGAUUGGUUCUGAUACCAAAUUGUCACAUCCCCGCCUGGGCCCUCACCACAUCCCUGGGUCCCCCCUUAUUCGGGGCCCGACUUUCUCGUUGGCACACUUUUGGCCAAGGAUUAGUUCUGAUACCAAAUUGUCACAUCCCGGCCUGGGCCCCCACCACAUCCCUGGGUCGACUUCAUUGUAGCACGAUAUUGUCCACUUUGAGCCCCGACCACGCCCUCAUAGUUUUGUUUCAGGGAAUUCACACGAGAACUUUCCAGUGGGUCACUCAUCCUGGGAUUGCUCUCGCUCGAACUUGCUUAACUUCGGAGUUCCGAUAGAACCCAAAGCCAGUGAGCUCUCAAAAGACCUCGUGCUAGGUAGAGAUGAGAAUAUACAUAUAAGGCUUACAAGAUCCACUCCCCUGGACGAUGUGGGAUGUUACAGAAGUCACUUAAUUUCCACACAAAUUCUUUAACUAUCAAAAGACAAUUUUAUUAUAUAUAUAAAAAAAAUAUUGUUAUUGGCACUCCAAACUUUCUAUAUUUAUAAAGAAAAAUAUGUAUUGUGUAGAGUGUAGAAUGAGAUUUUUAGAGUACCAGUAACAAUUUCCUAAAAAAAUCUAUGUUUGUUUUUUUAUUAAUUAAUUAGGUUUUAUUUACGAACUAACUAUGUUGAUCGCAUUUGAAAAAAAAAAAACUAAAAUGAUAUGUACAUCGAAACAGAAAACGAAUAAAAAGCAACAAAAAUUCAUUUGGAAACAGAGUGGCAACCUGGAAAUUUUGAGAAACUCUUGGGGCAACGAGUUGACAUUCUCCCGCUACACUCCCAUACAAGCAAACAUUCGCAUCACACAGAGUGUUUCUCAACGCACCCAAACAACCCCUCUCUCUCUCUCUCUCUCUCUCUCUCUCUCUCUCUCUAUGACAACCAUGAAAGAGCCACCUCUCUCCCGUCGCAGAAGGCCCACUUGCCACCAGCCCAAGAAGCUGAAGCUCGUCUGCUGCUUCAACGGCGCAUUCCACCCCCGCCCGCCGUCCGGGAAGCUACGCUACGUCGGCGGCGAGGCCAGAAUCGUGUCCGUGGACCGUAACAUCGGGUUCUCGAAGCUCCGAUCAAAGAUUUUGGAUCUUUGCCCCAGCAUUAACCCCACAUUCACUCUCAAGUACCAGCUCCCGGGUUCCGGCUCCGGCUCCGACUCCGCUGCCCCUCUCGCCCUCAUCGCGUCAGAUGACGACGUUCGGUGCAUGAUCGAAGAGUACGACAAGCUCGAGCUGUACGGUAAGUCCCCGAGGCUCUGGGUUUUUGUUUGUUGUAGAAAUGGCAGUGAUAAUGUCAGUGGUUAUGUGAAUUGCGUGAAAGGUGUGAACCUUAGUGAGGGGUUUGAGUCAGAGAGCGAACAUGUAGGGACCCACCGCCGCCAUUUGAGGGGCGGAGCUCAGGUGGAGAAGAAGGCGGCGGUGAAGAACUUUGGGGGCGUACGGUCCGGCGAUGAAUCGCUUAGAAAAAUGGUGCUGAAACGGCAAUUGCUUGCAAAGCAAUCGGCUUUUCGCCGUCGUUUUGGUACUAGUGAGAAUGAUGAAAUAGGGUUUUUGGGUGAAUCCCAAAAGUGUGAAUCUUUUGAUCAGGGCAGAGACUUGUUGGAUGACAGAUUAGGGAGUAAACGUUGUGACAAUGUAGGGAGUUUUUUGGUGUCUCGGGCAAAUCCGCUGAAUCCCAGAGAUGGGAAUUUGAGGGUGGAAGGUAAGGGUUUUGGGCUGCGCUGUCCGGCAUGGUCGGGUCAGAUUUUGUGUAAUGGGGUUGGGAGGUCGAGUCAGGCAGUGGCAACUGCGCCGCCUGCGAAACCAUUACCGGGUUGUAAUGGUUGUUGUAGUGAUGUUAAGCAGGAUUUUGAAAACAAUGCAAUGGCUGGGAUUAGUUAUGUGAACAGAGAAAACGUUAUGCCUUUGGAGACCAAUUGUGAUUUGGUGAAGAAUGGAUUGAGUUGUAAUUCUGGUGCUGAUUCUUUGGCUGGAACUACUGCGUAUCCUGUGAAGUCUUCUUAUAGUGGUGAUAGGGUGUGGGGCGGCUUAAAGAGCGGGAUUCGUAACCAUAGAUUUGGUGUGAAUGAUGCUAGAAAUCAGCGGUGUUAUCAGUACCAUGUUCGGAAUCAUCAUAGGAGCAACAUGACUGAGAUGGGGAUCCAAAGAACGAAGCAGGGGAUUUCAGCUUGGAAAUGCUACCCCGGACUUAUGCCAAAUUUGAACAUUGCAAAGCAAGGGCAGUCUCUGAGAGUAUAUCAUCCGAGUAUAUGGAGGCAAUGCUCUGGUUUUCCUGAGCAUGCAGUGGAAGAAAGGGUGAGGAUGAUGGAUUCUCGUUCAAUGAAAGACAACUACUUGAUCGAUGUGCUAUAUGGUAAUGAGAAACUGAGUAAACGGAGUGGCCCUGCAGUUUCACAGCAAGGGAAUUAUAAUCCGAGUAAAUCCUAUUCAGGUUUUUGUGGUGCAUUUACUGGCGUGGGAAAUCAAUCUCUCAUGAGUUCUAAUGCCAUUGAGAGUUCAUCUCCAUCUGUGAAGACAAUGGACAUUCUGGAAGAUCUCUUAACUGGUUCUGAUUUUGGGAAGUGUGAUGGUCCAUAUCAAACUUCACAUGAAAAUUUUCAUGGAAUGUCCGGAAAUUGUGAGUUUCAGAAGGAGAUGCGCCUGUUGGACUCUCAUGAGGUUGCUAACACCUCUGGGGCUUUUUUUUUUUUUUUUUUUUUUUUUUUUUUUUUUUUUUUUUUUUUUUUUUUUUUUUUUUUUUUUUUUUUUUUUUUUUUUUUUUUUUUUUUUUUUUUUUUUUUUUUUUUUUUUUUUUUUUUUUUUUUUUUUUUUUUUUUUUUUUUUUUUUU